rnacentral:sRNA from 1 species
GCCGGGCAUUGUGGCGGGCACCUGUAGUCCCAGCUGCUUGGGAGGCUGAGGCAAGAGAAUCGCCUAAGCCCAGGAGUUGGAGGUUGCUGUGAGCUGUGAUGCCAUGGCACUCUACCAAGGGUGACAAAGUGAGACUCUGUCUCUAAAAAUAAUAAUAAUGAUUAUUUUUUUAUUUAUGUGAGACAGUGUCUCUGUCAUCCUUGGUAGAGUGCUAUAGCAUCACAGCUCACAAUAACUUCAAACUCUUGGACUUAUGGGAUUCUCUUGC